rnacentral:lncRNA from 1 species
AGUGAAGAUGUGAUUUUUAAAGUAGAAUUAUGGUAAUAUUAUAUAUAAAAAUGUAUUUUUUAAGGAAAAUAUUUUGAUGAGUGCAUACGUGUGUGUGUGUGUGUGUGUGUGUGUGUGUGUGUGUUGGCAGGAGCAAGAAAUUAAUGUUUCAGAGUAAAGAUGUGUUUUUAUGCUAUUAAGUACAACUCAAGUGUGUAUUUAUCAUAUCAU